UACGUAGGCAGCAAGCGUUGUUCGGAGUUACUGGGCGUAAAGGGUGUGUAGGCGGUCUUCUAAGUCUGGUGUGAAAUCUCCCGGCUCAACUGGGAGGGUGCGCCGAAAACUGGAAGGCUAGAGUGCGGGAUGGGAGAGUGGAAUUCCUGGUGUAGCGGUGAAAUGCGUAGAUAUCAGGAGGAACACCUGUGGUGUAGACGGCUCUCUGGACCGCAACUGACGCUGAGACACGAAAAGCGUGGGUAGCAAACAGG
rnacentral:rRNA from 1 species